rnacentral:rRNA from 1 species
GAUGGGAGCUUGCUCCCAGGCGUCGAGCGGCGGACGGGUGAGUAACACGUGGGAAUCUGCCCAUUAGUGGGGGAUAACUCGGGGAAACUCGAGCUAAUACCGCAUAAUCCCUACGGGGGAAAGCAGGGGAUCUUCGGACCUUGCGCUGAUGGAUGAGCCCGCGUCGGAUUAGCUUGUUGGUGGGGUAAUGGCCCACCAAGGCGACGAUCCGUAACUGGUCUGAGAGGAUGGCCAGUCACACCGGGACUGAGACACGGCCCGGACUCCUACGGGAGGCAGCAGUGGGGAAUCUUGGACAAUGGGCGCAAGCCUGAUCCAGCCAUGCCGCGUGUGUGAAGAAGGCCUUCGGGUUGUAAAGCACUUUCAGUAGGGAGGAAGGCUUUGGGCUAAUACCCUGGAGUACUUGACGUUACCUACAGAAGAAGCACCGGCUAAUUUCGUGCCAGCAGCCGCGGUAAUACGAAAGGUGCGAGCGUUAAUCGGAAUUACUGGGCGUAAAGCGCGCGUAGGCGGUGUGUUAAGUCGGAUGUGAAAGCCCAGGGCUCAACCUUGGAAUUGCAUCCGAUACUGGCACGCUAGAGUGCAGUAGAGGGAGGUGGAAUUUCCGG